GAUGAACGCUGGCGGCGUGCUUAACACAUGCAAGUCGAACGAAGCACUUUACUACGAUUUCUUCGGAAUGACGGUUUUGUGACUGAGUGGCGGACGGGUGAGUAACGCGUGGAUAACCUGCCUCAUACAGGGGGAUAACAGCCGGAAACGGCUGCUAAUACCGCAUAAGCGCACGGUACCGCAUGGUACAGUGUGAAAAACUCCGGUGGUAUGGGAUGGAUCCGCGUCUGAUUAGCCAGUUGGCGGGGUAACGGCCCACCAAAGCGACGAUCAGUAGCCGACCUGAGAGGGUGACCGGCCACAUUGGGACUGAGACACGGCCCAAACUCCUACGGGAGGCAGCAGUGGGGAAUAUUGCACAAUGGGGGAAACCCUGAUGCAGCGACGCCGCGUGAGCGAAGAAGUAUUUCGGUAUGUAAAGCUCUAUCAGCAGGGAAGAUAAUGACGGUACCUGAGUAAGAAGCUCCGGCUAAAUACGUG
rnacentral:rRNA from 1 species